UACGUAGGGUGCAAGCGUUGUCCGGAAUUAUUGGGCGUAAAGAGCUCGUAGGCGGUCUGUCACGUCGGACGUGAAAAUCCAGGGCUCAACCCUGGACCUGCGUUCGAUACGGGCAGACUAGAGUUCGGUAGGGGAGACUGGAAUUCCUGGUGUAGCGGUGAAAUGCGCAGAUAUCAGGAAGAACACCCGUGGCGAAGGCGGCUCUCUGGGACGGUACUGACGCUGAGACGCGAAAGCGUGGGGAGCGAACAGG
rnacentral:rRNA from 1 species